CCUACGGGUGGCUGCAGUGGGGAAUAUUGGACAAUGGGGGCAACCUUGAUCCAGCCAUGCCGCGUGUGUGAAGAAGGCCCUCGGGUUGUAAAGCACUUUCAGUGAGGAAGAACGCCUGGUGGUUAAUACCCAUCAGGAAAGACAUCACUCACAGAAGAAGCACCGGCUAACUCCGUGCCAGCAGCCGCGGUAAUACGGAGGGUGCGAGCGUUAAUCGGAAUUACUGGGCGUAAAGCGCGCGUAGGUGGCUUGAUAAGCCGGUUGUGAAAGCCCCGGGCUCAACCUGGGAACGGCAUCCGGAACUGUCAAGCUAGAGUGCAGGAGAGGAAGGUAGAAUUCCCGGUGUAGCGGUGAAAUGCGUAGAGAUCGGGAGGAAUACCAGUGGCGAAGGCGGCCUUCUGGACUGAUACUGACACUGAGGUGCGAAAGCGUGGGUAGCAAACAGGAUUAGAUACCCUAGUAGUC
rnacentral:rRNA from 1 species